rnacentral:rRNA from 1 species
GGGCCCGCACAAGCGGUGGAGCAUGUGGUUUAAUUCGAUGAUACGCGAGGAACCUUACCAGGGCUUAAAUGUAAGUUGCAUUAGCUAGAGAUAGCUAUUUCUUCGGACUACUUACAAGGUGCUGCAUGGUUGUCGUCAGCUCGUGCCGUGAGGUGUCAGGUUAAGUCCUAUAACGAGCGCAACCCCUGUUGUUAGUUGCCAUCGAGUCAUGUCGGGAACUCUAACAAGACUGCCGGUGCAAACCGUGAGGAAGGUGGGGAUGACGUCAAAUCAUCACGGCCCUUACGGUCCUGGCUACACACGUGCUACAAUGGCCGGUACAGAGAGCAGCCACUACGCGAGUAGGCGCG